ACCAGUUUUAGUGUUGGGGGCACCAUUCACAUAGAAUAUAAUGUGAAUUUUGAACCCUAGAGAUGCUUCUGUGAACACUUUCCUCCUCCGUGGUCACUUCUGUGCAAAGGAGCAGCCAAUUCUGCAGGCUAAGAGAGGGCAUGGGAAUUUAGAACCACAGCCUGUGCUAUGUUUGCUCCUCCCUGCAGGGUCUUUGAGUGGUGACUGUGCCUCAGGGCUUGGCAGUGGGGACAGUUUGCUGAAAGGAUACAAUCCAGCCACAAUUUACCAUCAUUUAACUUACAAUCAUUUCUUAAUCUCCUAUUCAUUUCAGCAUCUGCAGCAUCCAGCACCCUGAACUUCGUAGGUAUUCAACAGAUGGUGGUUGAAGGAAGGUGCUGAAUGACUGUAGUUUCUCCUAUAUACCUCCUACACAGUGAUGCAUAAGGCACGCUAUACACAUUUGCUACUGAAAUCAGUGACUUUAAAUGCCUGCGGUGUUCUAAACAUAUUGUGGGUCCUCAUGGGAUGGAAGAAAGUGCAUUGGAUUUGAAAUGGGAAUAUUUGGCUCAGGCCCUGGUGGUCUGAUGCCUCUAUGUCUAUUUCACACCAUGUGAGGCAAUUUGCUCCUCAAACAACUACGAGUCUGUGUGGUGCUGCCUACGUAAGUCAGUGUUACCCUUCAUUCUUCCUAAAGCAAGGUUUAUUUAUUUAUAAUUAUUCAACAAACAAUUAUGAAGCUUUGUUAUGCAAAGGGAACUGA
rnacentral:lncRNA from 1 species